UUUCUUUUUCAAAAAACUUAAGGGAAAAUGCAAGGUCUGCCAUUUGAUUUUUCAUACAGAAGGUGUGUGCCCUACGGCUAGAACUGUGGCGAGGGUAGCACACAUGAUGGAGAAAAGAUUGGAGAUAGCCAGCCUGUUUUUAGGGUUUGCAAACAGCAUGUUUCAAAAUGGGGCUUUCAAAUUUCAUGGAAUUCAAACCCUUGUGCUCCCUCUUAUGUGUCGCUCCUUGCUUGGCCCGAAAGAACAGGCACAAUUGUGCAAGCAUCUAGUGCUGCAUGACCAUGAUUUAUGCUCAAACUCUAGCACAGACGAUGCACUUGCAUUGGUACCCGUCAACGAAGCUGGUAUGUCAAAAAGGGGUCGGCCAACCUCCCCCUUCUCCUAUCCAAAAAAAAAACUGAAAGUUCUGCUACCAGAGCUUUUUAACUAAUCACUGAGUACAGAAAAAGCUUCACAUGCCAAAAUUCAACGCUAAGUUCACAGCCAACUCUUUUGGCAUGGUUGAAGCACCAGGAAGCAUCCUUGUGCCAAAGGAAAAUUUUGACAAGGGGACAGAACCAAAGAAAAAAAAAAGGCAGGCCUCUUAGCUCCAAGAACAAAAAUCCCCCCAAGUCGAAGAACAUUAUUGAUGUAAAGGAGCUAUGCUUGGCAUACUUGAUACAACCUUCGAGCCCUACCUUGAAGCGCAAGGAGAAAAUUUAAGUUUGUUUUAUUUUUGGACUUUGCCUAUUUUACUAUGUUUAUGUUUUACCUAGUUCAUAAAGUGAGUACUGAAUGUUGUACAAGUGGUACUAUUAGGUCGUGUUUGUUAUGAGGGACUGGACGGGACUGGGUACCAUAACACGAGGUAGCCCGUGUUUGGCAACAACCUGGACUGUGUUAAAUGAGACUCUGCAGUCCCCAAAACACAGCCCACACCGUCUACGAGAGCGACGCCAAAACUCAUGGGAUUGUGGAAGCCCGUGUUGUAGACGUUGAAAUCCAUUCUCGCUGGAUCUGCUCUUCGCCUCAACCUCAUCAUUCUCUCUCUCUCAUGCCAUUCUUUUGCUUCAGCCUCCUUCAACACCUCUUCUUCGGGUUCAAUUUCAUCUUCUCUCUCUUUGCAUUGAUUAUUUUUCACUCUCCCCUUCAAUCCUCUACCUUCUUCUUUCUCUAUCUCCUUUAUUAUAGAUCAUUUGUUUAUGGGUUGUAAUUAUUUUAAGGAUUUGGUGUCUGGGUAGCUUGAUCUGCUGAGAAUUUUGAUCAAUUUCGUGUCUGGGUAGCUUGAUCUGUUGGAGCACCAAACAUGGAUCAAGACUGUUUAGAAAUAAGCCAAGUUAUAAGAGUCCGGGACUGCUAUAGAAAUUAAGGUGAAGGGUGAUAGUCCUGUUAAACAAACGUGACCUUAAUGUUGUAUAAGUGGUACUAUUUUCUAUACCACUUUUCUUAUCUGUCUAUAUAUGUUAGGACAGAGGAAAGGUAUGUAACUUUCCGCCUUGGCUUGAGUUAACGAGAAAAUCAUUGUGAUUUUGAUUCAAAAACACAAAGGUUAAGGUGAUGUAAGCAAAAAAGUACUCCCUCUAUAUAUGGAUUCCUUUAUCCCCUCUCUAAUUUUAGCGCUCUCCAUUAUUCAUAUUUUCAUUAUCUAUUCCUAUACUGAUUACUGAAUGUAAAAGUAUAUAUAGAAUGUCAAAAAUUAAUAUAAUUGUGAUGUAAUGAAUUACUUUAUUUUUAGACAAGAAUGCUACUAAUGACUUAAAACAUUUAAAAGUUUAUUUUUUCAUCAACCAAUCAUAUUUAUUAUUAUUAAUUUUAGCUAAAUUUUAAGAAACAUUAUUAGAG